GAUGAACGCUGGCGGCGUGCCUAAUACAUGCAAGUCGAGCGAACGGACGAGAAGCUUGCUUCUCUGAUGUUAGCGGCGGACGGGUGAGUAACACGUGGAUAACCUACCUAUAAGACUGGGAUAACUUCGGGAAACCGGAGCUAAUACCGGAUAAUAUUUUGAACCGCAUGGUUCAAAAGUGAAAGACGGUCUUGCUGGCACUUAUAGAUGGAUCCGCGCUGCAUUAGCUAGUUGGUAAGGUAACGGCUUACCAAGGCAACGAUGCAUAGCCGACCUGAGAGAGUGAUCGGCCACCCUGGAGCUGGGACAGGGACCAGACUCCUAAGGGACGCAGCAGUAGGGAAUCUUCCGCAAUGGGCGAAAGCAUGACGGAGCAGCGCCGCGUGAGUGAUGAAGGUCUUCGGAUCGUAAAACUCUGUUAUUAGGGAAGAACAUAUGUGUAAGUAACUGUGCACAUCUUGACGGUACCUAAUCAGAAAGCCACGGCUAACUACGUG
rnacentral:rRNA from 1 species